UUAAUUCUACCCUAGCAUCCAAACUUUCCUUUCAUGGUCAGCCGUCUCCUUUUCUUACACUGACAUUUUUUUUGUUCAUUUCGUGGAUGACACGAGGAGAAGAUUUAAAAUCUGCACCGCUUCUGGCACAGAGUUGUACAUACAUAUUAAGGAGCAGGCAGUUCUGAAGAACGAAUUGAAGACAUUGAAGAAAGGGCGUCGUGUCUAUCAACAGCAACCAAACAGCAAUGUUUAUUUCCUCAGCAACAUAAACCAGUGUCAAAAAGAGUGCCAAAAAAACCUUCAGGAGCUCAACAAGGAGAAGACGUUGUCAGGACAAGGAUAGAUGGACUUGGCACCGAAGUUACGGAACUCGAUAUUUGAUGAAGUCUUUGGGUACUAGUUUUUAUUGUGCUAAUGAGGCAAGUUGAUGGGAGUGGAUGGUAGAUGUGGUUGUCAUGGCAACAGAAAUGCCACAGAGAGGAAUUCAUCAGCUGAAGUUCACAUACCGGUGCAUGUACACUGAAGAAACUAUGGUUUUGUGACACUCGGCAACUAAGUGAUGUUGCCACAAGAGCUGCACAUGCAACGCUAGAGGGAGAUGUAGGGGUGUCACACGGUCAUGCCCUCCCCCCAUUAGUCAGUUCUAUAGGCAAACUUCUGGUGCCAUCAGCAAGAAUGGAAAAGAAUGGGGGGUUUCGGGAACUAGACCACCAGUACACUCAUGAAUGAUACAACCUCCUACCAUUUAAAAUGGUCUAGCAAUGCUCAUGCAUUGCUGCUUUCAAUUUACUGUUUUUGGUGCAUUUGAUGCUUUUAUCUAAGAACUGUAGAUGCCUACCCAGUCCCCAAAGUAUGAAGUUCAUGUCUUGGGAGUGGAUUUGAUUUCUUAAAGUUUUCUACAUGUAAAACUUUUGAAGUUGUUUAUGUAAUAUUUGGUGUGUGUUCCCCUUUGAGAUUAUGAAGUCACGGAGAAUUAAAAAGUUUGUUGGCCUUCAGAGAGUUCACAAGUUGCAAACAGCUGGUCCAGGUGGAUGAUGAAAUGGGGUGGGAGUGUUGCAAAAUACUGGUGUUGCCCUCUGGACCCCUGAGGGCAGGUGUUCAUGGCCUCUUGGCAGCCAGCCAAGUGACGCAGGUGAAACAGAAAGUUUUGCUGGCUGCAUGGUCAGUCUAAACCUUAAUGCCACAGCGCACAUCUGGGGGUGGGGAUGUGUGGUGUUGAAAUUGGAAAAGUUGAGUAAGGAGAGUAAAUGUCUCCACCAAUGACUUUGUAGUUUUAGUUGUUUUGAUGCAUACAAAUGCAUCCAACUGCUUUGUUGACUUUUGUGUAUGUGUAUUUUGUUGACAAAUGCACUGAAAUAAUUUUGGAAAAACAAAUCACAUUUUCUGGCCAUAUUUGUAUGGGGGACGGGCCACAAUUUAGUGAGAUCAGAUUUAGUAUUUGGUUUGACUUUAACAAGUUCUAUAAUUUUUCCAGCUGACAAAACGUUGGGGGAAGGCUUUUUUAGGGGGGUCUCAAAUUACAUGCAUCUGAAGUCCGUGUAUAACACACUUGAUCUUUCAAAGGUAAUGAAUGUUUCUACAGAGCUCAAACGCUACACAUCCAGCCAUCCAAAAAGACCCCAAGGGAACAUUGAUUCUAAAAUUAAUCAUGUUGUGGUAGGGCAAUUUAGAACUGCACCAUAUUGAUGUACACAACCAACAGCGUAAUCUCGGCUAAUACGAUUGUAAGCCAUUUGUACAUGUUCACAGCAUUCAUGUAUUAGGCAAAGCUGCUUACCUCAGUGGUCAGGUGGUGGGUCAACUCUAGGGAAGUUCUCACUGGAAAUAGGCAAAGUUUGUUGAACCUUGUACAACCUUCCUCCUCAUGUCUGGCAGGUUUCAGACUAUCCCGCCCAGCAAGAAAUGAGACCGAGGGGUACCCCCCCACGUCCAAUCCCUAUA